AUCUCUUCUCUCUUCAAUAGGAGCUCCAAUAUAUUUAUCGAACAUCUACGGGUUCUUUGGGGAAUUCAUCUUCAGUCCUAUAACUGCGUCCAUGACAUCAAGUUCUCGUAUUCGUUUAUCUUCUGGGUUAGGUGCAUUUUCUGGAAAUUCUCACCAAAUGGCUCAUACAACAAAUAGUGGGGCAUCUUCUAGUAAUUCACACCAAAUGACGCAUACU